CUCUCUGCUGACAUCUGUUGGUGAGCUGUGGAAAAUGACUGACUAGGCCAGGCCUCAUUUGCAUUUCUGCUAUGUGAAGGCUUAGGCAAUUUUGUUCAAAAUUCAGUUAAGUUUUUUUGCGGGGUGAGGGUAAUAAAAAGUUGUUGUUCCUGUUGCGUAACAAAAGAGCAAGAGAACGACACCAAAUGUGCCUGGGGUGACAGGUCACCCUGACCAAUACUGCAGUCUGGCAAAGUUGGGUAGCAGAGCCUGGCCAAAGUCAAAGAAAGAGAUUUUUAUUUUUUUUGGUAUGAGUGUACUCUAGCUGGUGUGAACUCUGUUCAGGGUCCUAUAUGCUACUGAUAAUUCUCUGAAGAGUUUGUGGAGAGGCAACUUUGCUGUGUAGCAGCUGCAUUGUGAUCUGAAGCAGUAUGAAGGAUUUAACCAGCUUUGCACCCAGUGCACUCAGCAGACACUUCAGACUGGAGAGAAUGUUUGCUUCAGAAAAUAUUAAGGAACAGAAUUCUUGAAGGAGCUAUACUGGCUAAUAUACCAGAAUACAGAAGGACUCACAUAGGUACUGUAAAGGAUGUGUUCUGAGAUGUGG